rnacentral:rRNA from 1 species
UACGGAGGUCCCAAGCGUUGUUCGGAUUUACUGGGCGUAAAGCGCAUGUAGGCGGGUCGUUAAGUUGGGGGUGAAAGCCCGAGGCUCAACCUCGGAAUUGCCUUCAAAACUGGCGACCUGGAGCAUGAUAGAGGCGAGUGGAAUUCCGAGUGUAGAGGUGAAAUUCGUAGAUAUUCGGAGGAACACCAGUGGCGAAGGCGACUCGCUGGAUCAUUGCUGACGCUGAGAUGCGAAAGCGUGGGGAGCAAACAGG